rnacentral:rRNA from 1 species
CCUACGGGAGGCAGCAGUGAGGAAUAUUGGUCAAUGGCCGAGAGGCUGAACCAGCCAAGUCGCGUGAGGGAAGACGGCCCUACGGGUUGUAAACCUCUUUUGUCGGGGAGCAAAGCGAGUCACGUGUGACUCAUUGAGAGGACCCGAAGAAAAAGCAUCGGCUAACUCCGGGCCAGCAGCCGCGGUAAUACGGAGGAUCCGAGCGUUAUCCGGAUUUAUUGGGUUUAAAGGGAGCGGAGAUGGGUUGUUAAGUCAGUUGGGAAAGUUUGCGGCUCAACCGGAAAAUUGCCAUUGAUACUGGCAGUCUUGAGUACAGUUGCGGUAGGCGGAUUUCGUGGUGUAGCGG